GUGGGGAAUAUUGGACAAUGGGCGAAAGCCUGAUCCAGCAAUGCCGCGUGAGUGAAGAAGGCCUUCGGGUUGUAAAGCUCUUUUACCCGGGAAGAUAAUGACUGUACCGGGAGAAUAAGCCCCGGCUAACUCCGUGCCAGCAGCCGCGGUAAUACGGAGGGGGCUAGCGUUGUUCGGAAUUACUGGGCGUAAAGCGCACGUAGGCGGUCUUUUAAGUCAGAGGUGAAAGCCCGGGGCUCAACUCCGGAAUUGCCUUUGAAACUGGGAGACUUGAACACGGGAGAGGUGAGUGGAAUUCCGAGUGUAGAGGUGAAAGUCGUAGAUAUUCGGAGGAACACCAGUGGCGAAGGCGGCUCACUGGACCGUUGUUGACGCUGAGGUGCGAAAGCGUGGGGAGCAAACAGGAUUAGAAACCCCGGUAGUCC
rnacentral:rRNA from 1 species